rnacentral:rRNA from 1 species
UAAAAGACGACCUCAGUUCGGAUUGAAGGCUGAAAUUCGCCUUCAUGAAGUCGGAAUUGCUAGUAAUGGCAGGUCAGCAUACUGCCGUGAAUACGUUCCCGGGCCUUGUACACACCGCCCGUCACACCAUGAGAGUUGGAGAUACCCGAAGCCUAUGAGCUAACUUUUAGAGGCAGUAGUCGAAGGUAGAAUCAAUGAUUGGGGUGAAGUCGUAACAAGGUACC